GUAUUUGUGUUUAGCAAUGUUAAGUUAUGUCACCUUGGAUUCGCAUGGUUCAUGUAGUAAGUUGUGUGGCAAUGGUUUGUGUUGGUAGAACUCUAGACAUGUAUAGGAAAAGAUGUGGUUUAUUCAUUUCAUCUUGGUAGAUCUAUUGUAAUGUGGCGCCCAAGUUAAAAGUAGAUAUAUAGAUAUUAUAUAUGCUUAUAACGUCAUGACUUGUAGUUUCCAUUUCCGAAUUUAUCUUUGAGUUUGUAACAUUGUCAUUUGUACGUGUAGAUCUAUUGGUUAAUUUUUUGCAUGUCAGUAUUUUCAUUCUAGUUGUUUUCAUUUUAAUCUUUUUCCAUUGUUUGUUUUUGAGUUUGGGUCUCCAUUAGGGUCAUAAGAAAUAAUGUAAUGUUGGUGAAAACUCUCAUUCGGUGCAAACCGUACAAAUUUCAUAAAAACCAAGUUUAAAAGUUUCAAAAAAAAUCUAAAAAAAUACCAUAUGUUGAGUGUGAUGUUUUACAAACCUACAAAUUUUCAAGUUCAAAGUCAAAAUUAUUUGGAAGGAAUUAAAAAAUGAAUUUUACAAUCUAAAAAAAUCAUUUGGAAGGAAUAGUGAUCUUUCGAGCAGUAAAGUUAGGUGAUAUGCUUGUGCAUGUAUAGAGGUGUGUUAAUUAUGCCUUACCUGUUGAUAAAUCCAUAUUGGUAAUUGCAGUCAUAAACU
rnacentral:lncRNA from 1 species